rnacentral:lncRNA from 1 species
AAAGAUAAAGAUUAUGGGUUGUGAGAGAUGAGGGAAUUAUAAAAGGAUGAAUACAUCUGAAAGCAAUAAAUCCUCAGAGGGCAUUUAUAGUAUGAAAGUGAAAUGCCCUUUUAGGAUGAGAUUUGCACCGAGUGGAAGCAGUUGAAAGGUAAUGGUUAGGUGUGGUUGCACAAUCAUAAAAUAUCUAAUAAUUUAGAAGUCCAUGACAUUUUGGACAGUCUAAAAGUUCAUGAGAGACAAUUUGUGAAUGACAUGACGAAGUAUAAC